GCUUGGAAGCAGCCAUUCAUUUAAAGAGUGCGUAACAGCUCACUAGUCGAGGAGUUUGGCGUGGAUAAUAAUCGGGCAUAAGUGUUUUACCGAAGCUAUGGGAUACGUAAGUAUCGGUAGGGGAGCAUUCCACUCGGCGUUGAAGGCGAAGCGUGAGCUUUACUGGAGCGUGUGGAAAAGCAAAUGUAGGUAUAAGUAACGAUAAAGGGGGUGAGAAACCCCCUCGCCGCAAGACUAAGGUUUCCUGAUCAACGCUAAUCGGAUCAGGGUUAGUCGGGUCCUAAGGCUCAGCCGAACGGUGAGGCCGAUGGCAGAACAGGUUAAUAUUCCUGUACUACCUGUAGGAGUGAUGUGGAGACGGAGGAGUGACAACGCCGCGGACUGACGGAAUAGUCCGUUAAAGGGUGUAGAUGUUGAUUAUCCCAGGCAAAUCCGGGAUAAGAGUCGAACCUGACAGUAUACCAAUUUCCCCGGAAAACGGUAAUAGUGCGUGUAAACAUACUCCCAAGAAAAUCCGCUAAACUUAAUCUUAUAGGUACCCGUACCGUAAACGGACACACGUAGUCGGGUUGAAUAUACUCAGGCGCUUGAGUGAAUCACGGUUAAGGAACUAGGCAAAUUGACCCUGUAACUUCGGGAUAAAGGGUCCCUACCCGGUGACGGGAGGGCGCAGAGAAUAGGUCCAGGCAACUGUUUAACAAAAACACAGGGCUGUGCAAAAUUGAAAGAUCACGUAUACAGCCUGACACCUGCCCGGUGCUGGAAGGUUAAGAGGAGAUGUCAUCGCAAGAGAAGCAUUGAAUUGAAGCCCCAGUAAACGGCGGCCGUAACUAUAACGGUCCUAAGGUAGCGAAAUUCCUUGUCGGGUAAGUUCCGACCUGCACGAAUGGUGUAAUGAUCUGGACACUGUCUCAACCGUGAGCUCAGUGAAAUUGUAGUAUCGGUGAAGAUGCCGAUUACCCGCGAUGGGACGAAAAGACCCCGUGAACCUUUACUAUAGCUUAACAUUGAAUUUGGGUAAUUGAUGUGUAGGAUAGGCCGGAGACUUUGAAGCAGGCACGCCAGUGUUUGUGGAGUCGCUGUUGAAAUACGGCCCUUUGGUUAUUUGAGUUCUAACUCGCUGAUGCGAGGACACUGUUUGGUGGGUAGUUUGACUGGGGUGGUCGCCUCCAAAAGCGUAACGGAGGCUUCUAAAGGUGCCCUCACGCCGAUUGGUAACCGGCGGUAGAGUGUAAUGGCAUAAGGGCGCUUGACUGGGAGACUUACAAGUCGAUCAGGUAGGAAACUAGAGCAUAGUGAUCCGGUGUUUCCGUAUGGAAGGGACAUCGCUCAAAGGAUAAAAGGUACUCCGGGGAUAACAGGCUGAUCCCUCCCAAGAGCUCAUAUCGACGGAGGGGUUUGGCACCUCGAUGUCGGCUCGUCACAUCCUGGGGCUGGAGAAGGUCCCAAG
rnacentral:rRNA from 1 species